rnacentral:rRNA from 1 species
UACGUAGGGGGCAAGCGUUGUCCGGAAUCAUUGGGCGUAAAGCGCGUGUAGGCGGUCCGGUAAGUCCGCUGUGAAAGUCGGGGGCUCAACCCUCGAAUGCCGGUGGAUACUGUCGGGCUAGAGUGCGGAAGAGGCGAGUGGAAUUCCUGGUGUAGCGGUGAAAUGCGCAGAUAUCAGGAGGAACACCAAUUGCGAAGGCGACUUUCUGGGCUGUAACUGACGCUGAGGCGCGAAAGCGUGGGGAGCAAACAGG